GCAUAUCAAUAAGCGGAGGAAAAGAAACUAACAAGGAUUCCCCUAGUAACUGCGAGUGAAGCGGGAAAAGCUCAAAUUUAAAAUCUGGUGGCCUUUGGUCAUCCGAGUUGUAAUCUAGAGAAGUGUUACCCGCGUCGGACCGUGUACAAGUCUCCUGGAAUGGAGCGUCAUAGAGGGUGAGAAUCCCGUCUUUGACACGGACUACCGAGGCUUUGUGGUGCGCUCUCAAAGAGUCGAGUUGUUUGGGAAUGCAGCUCAAAAUGGGUGGUAAAUUCCAUCUAAAGCUAAAUAUUGGCGAGAGACCGAUAGCGAACAAGUACCGUGAGGGAAAGAUGAAAAGAACUUUGGAAAGAGAGUUAAACAGUACGUGAAAUUGCUGAAAGGGAAACGCUUGAAGUCAGUCGCGUUGGCCGGAAAUCAGCCUUCCUUUUGGUUGGUGUACUUUCUGGUUGACGGGCCAGCAUCAGUUUUGACCGAUGGAUAAAGUUGUAGGGAAUGUGGCAUCUUCGGGUGUGUUUAUAGCCUUGCUUCGUAUACAUCGGUUGGGACUGAGGAACUCAGCACGCCGAAAGGCCGGGGUUCGCCCACGAUCGUGCUUAGGAUGCUGGCAUAAUGGCUUUAAUCGACCCGUCUUGAAACACGGACCAAGGAGUCUAACAUGCCUGCGAGUGUUUGGGUGGAAAACCCGAGCGCGUAAUGAAAGUGAAAGUCGAGAUCCUUGUCAUGGGGAGCAUCGACGCCCGGACCAGACGUUUUCUGACGGUUCUGCGGUAGAGCAUGUAUGUUGGGACCCGAAAGAUGGUGAACUAUGCCUGAAUAGGGUGAAGCCAGAGGAAACUACUGGUGGAGGCUCGUAGCGAUUCUGACGUGCAAAUCGAUCGUCAAAUUUGGGUAUAGGGGCGAAAGACUAAUCGAACCAUCUAGUAGCUGGUUCCUGCCGAAG
rnacentral:rRNA from 1 species